GGGUUGUGAGGUUAAGCGACUAAGCGUACACGGUGGAUGCCCUGGCAGUCAGAGGCGAUGAAGGACGUGCUAAUCUGCGAUAAGCGCCGGUAAGGUGAUAUGAACCGUUAUAACCGGCGAUUUCCGAAUGGGGAAACCCAGUGUGACUCGUCACACUAUCAUUAACUGAAUCCAUAGGUUAAUGAGGCGAACCGGGGGAACUGAAACAUCUAAGUACCCCGAGGAAAAGAAAUCAACCGAGAUUCCCCCAGUAGCGGCGAGCGAACGGGGAGGAGCCCAGAGCCUGAAUCAGCAUGUGUGUUAGUGGAAGCGUCUGGAAAGGCGCGCGAUACAGGGUGACAGCCCCGUACACAAAAGCGCAUGUGUUGUGAGCUCGAUGAGUAGGG
rnacentral:rRNA from 1 species